AAAAUUUGCUAGGGGUGCUACAAAAAGCUGAGAGAUAUGACAUAAUCAACCCUUGUACCUGAACUGGAUAAUGCCAGCGGAGGAAAGCGUAAAUCAAUGAUG
rfam:Clostridium sp. CAG:221 genomic scaffold, scf97